GACGAACGCUGGCGGCGUGCUUAACACAUGCAAGUCGAACGGAAAGGCCCUGCUUUUGUGGGGUGCUCGAGUGGCGAACGGGUGAGUAACACGUGAGUAACCUGCCCUUGACUUUGGGAUAACUUCAGGAAACUGGGGCUAAUACCGGAUAGGAGCUCCUGCUGCAUGGUGGGGGUUGGAAAGUUUCGGCGGUUGGGGAUGGACGCGCGGCUUAUCAGCUUGUUGGUGGGGUAGUGGCUGACCAAGCCUGUGACGGGUAGCCGGCCUGAGAGGGUGACCGGCCACCAUGGGACUGCGAGACGGCCCAGACUCCUACGGGAGACAGCAGUGGGGAAUAUUGCACAAUGGGCGGAAGCCUGAUGCAGCGGCGCCGCGUGCGGGAUGACGGCCUUCGGGUUGUAAACCGCUUUCGCCUGUGACGAAGCGUUAGUGACGGUAAUGGGUAAAGAAGCACCGGCUAACUACGUG
rnacentral:rRNA from 1 species